GGACGAACGCUGGCGGCGUGCCUAAUACAUGCAAGUCGAACGAGUCCUCCCAAUUUGAUUUUAUGCUUGCAUAAAUGAUUUUUGGAUUCGGGACGAGUGGCGAACUGGUGAGUAACACGUGGGUAACCUGCCCUAAAGCAGGGGAUAACAUUUGGAAACAGAUGCUAAUACCGUAUAAUUAGUUGGAACCACAUGGUUCCAACUUGAAAGAUGGCUCUGCUAUCACUUUAGGAUGGACCCGCGGCGUAUUAGCUAGUUGGUGAGAUAAAAGCUCACCAAGGCGAUGAUACGUAGCCGACCUGAGAGGGUAAUCGGCCACAUUGGGACUGAGACACGGCCCAGACUCCUACGGGAGGCAGCAGUAGGGAAUCUUCCACAAUGGACGAAAGUCUGAUGGAGCAACGCCGCGUGAGUGAAGAAGGGUUUCGGCUCGUAAAACUCUGUUGUUAAAGAAGAACAAGUGUAAGAGUAACUGUUUACGCUUUGACGGUAUUUAACCAGAAAGCCACGGCUAACUACGUGCCAGCAGCCGCGGUAAUACGUAGGUGGCAAGCGUUGUCCGGAUUUAUUGGGCGUAAAGCGAGCGCAGGUGGUCUUUUAAGUCUGUUGUGAAAGCCCUCAGCUCAACUGAGGAAGUGCAGCGGAAACUAGGAGACUUGAGUACAGAAGAGGAUAGUGGAACUCCAUGUGUAGCGGUGAAAUGCGUAGAUAUAUGGAAGAACACCAGUGGCGAAAGGCGGCUAUCUGGUCUGUUACUGACACUGAGGCUCGAAAGCAUGGGUAGCGAACAGGAUUAGAUACCCUGGUAGUCCAUGCCGUAAACGAUGAAUACUAGGUGUUGGAGGGUUUCCGCCCUUCAGUGCCGCAGCUAACGCAUUAAGUAUUCCGCCUGGGGAGUACGACCGCAAGGUUGAAACUCAAAGGAAUUGACGGGGGCCCGCACAAGUGGUGGAGCAUGUGGUUUAAUUCGAUGCUACGCGAAGAACCUUACCAGGUCUUGACAUCUUCUGCCAACCUAAGAGAUUAGGCGUUCCCUUCGGGGACAGAAUGACAGGUGGUGCAUGGUUGUCGUCAGCUCGUGUCGUGAGAUGUUGGGUUAAGUCCCGCAACGAGCGCAACCCUUAUUAUUAGUUGCCAGCAUUAAGUUGGGCACUCUAGUGAGACUGCCGGUGAUAAACCGGAGGAAGGUGGGGAUGACGUCAAAUCAUCAUGCCCCUUAUGACCUGGGCUACACACGUGCUACAAUGGAUGGUACAACGAGUCGCGAAACCGCGAGGUCAAGCUAAUCUCUUAAAGCCAUUCUCAGUUCGGAUUGCAGGCUGCAACUCGCCUGCAUGAAGUUGGAAUCACUAGUAAUCGUGGAUCAGCAUGCCACGGUGAAUACGUUCUCGGGCCUUGUACUCACC
rnacentral:rRNA from 1 species